rnacentral:rRNA from 1 species
GUAAAACUCAAAAAACGGUACUCAGUUCGGAUUGAAGGCUGAAAUUCGCCUUCAUGAAGCUGGAAUUGCUAGUAAUGGCAGGUCAGCAUACUGCCGUGAAUACGUUCCCGGGCCUUGUACACACCGCCCGUCAAGCCAUGGGAGCCGGGGGUGCCUGAAGUUCGUGACCGCAAGGAGCGACCUAGGGCAAAACUGGUGACUGGGGCUAAGUCGUAACAAGGUAAC